UACGUAGGGGGCAAGCGUUGUCCGGAUUUAUUGGGCGUAAAGAGCUCGUAGGCGGUUUGUUGCGUCGGCUGUGAAAUCCCGAGGCUCAACCUCGGGUCUGCAGUCGAUACGAGCAAACUAGAGUGUUGCAGGGGAGACUGGAAUUCCUGGUGUAGCGGUGGAAUGCGCAGAUAUCAGGAGGAACACCGAUGGCGAAGGCAGAUCUCUGGGCCGUAACUGACGCUGAGGAGCGAAAGCGUGGGGAGCGAACAGG
rnacentral:rRNA from 1 species